UACGGAGGGGGCUAGCGUUGUUCGGAAUUACUGGGCGUAAAGCGCACGUAGGCGGCUUUGUAAGUUAGAGGUGAAAGCCCGGGGCUCAACUCCGGAAUUGCCUUUAAGACUGCAUCGCUAGAAUUGUGGAGAGGUGAGUGGAAUUCCGAGUGUAGAGGUGAAAUUCGUAGAUAUUCGGAAGAACACCAGUGGCGAAGGCGGCUCACUGGUCCGGUACUGACGCUGAUGUGCGAAAAGCGUGGGGGAGCAAACAGG
rnacentral:rRNA from 1 species